rnacentral:misc_RNA from 1 species
CUCAGUCCGCGUAGUAAUGGUAGCCGCCGCGCGGAUUAGCAUAUCGCGGCUGCUGGUAACGCGCGUCCUGCUCGUAAUAACCCUGUUGUGCGUAGCCCUGCUGAUAACCGUGCUGCUGGUAGAUGCGGCGCUGCAUCGGCCCUGCAUCGCUGGGGCCGUAAUAGGCCUGAUCCUGCGCGUAGGACGGAUCGCGAUAGGCUCGAUCAGGCGAGACCUGACGUGCGCGCG